rnacentral:rRNA from 1 species
CAGUCGCCACGGUAAUACAGAGGAUGCAAGCGUUAUCCGGAAUGAUUGGGCGUAAAGCGUCUGUAGGUGGCUUUUCAAGUCCGCCGUCAAAUCCCAGGGCUCAACCCUGGACAGGCGGUGGAAACUACCAAGCUGGUGUACGGUAGGGGCAGAGGGAAUUUCCGGUGUAGCGGUGAAAUGCGUAGAUAUAUGGAGGAACACCGGUGGCGAAAGCGGCUCUCUGGCUUGUAACUGACGCUGAGGCUCGAAAGCGUGGGGAGCAAACAGGAUUAGAUACCCCCGUAGUCCCUGUCUCUUAUAC